rnacentral:rRNA from 1 species
UACGUAGGUGGCAAGCGUUGUCCGGAAUGACUGGGCGUAAAGGGCGUGUAGGUGGAUUGAUCAGUCGGAUGUGAAAUACCUGGGCUUAACCUGGGAACUGCAUUCGAUACGGUCAGUCUUGAGUGCAGGAGAGGGCAGUGGAAUUCCCAGUGUAGCGGUGAAAUGCGUAGAGAUUGGGAGGAACACCAGUGGCGAAGGCGGCUGCCUGGACUGUAACUGACACUGAGGCGCGAAAGCGUGGGGAGCAAACAGGAUUAGAUACCCUGGUAGUCCACGCCGUAAACGAUGGGUACUAGGUGUAGGAGGUAUCGACCCCUUCUGUGCCGGAGUUAACACAAUAAGUACCCCGCCUGGGGAGUACGGCCGCAAGGUUGAA